rnacentral:rRNA from 1 species
UACGGGGGGGGCAAGAGUUGUUCGGAAUUACUGGGCGUAAAGGGCUCGUAGGCGGCCAACUAAGUCAGACGUGAAAUCCCUCGGCUUAACCGGGGAACUGCGUCUGAUACUGGAUGGCUUGAGUUUGGGAGAGGGAUGCGGAAUUCCAGGUGUAGCGGUGAAAUGCGUAGAUAUCGUAAGGAAGACCAGUGGCGAAGGCGGGUCUCUGGACAGUUCCUGACGCUGAGGCACGAAGGUCAGGGGAGCAAACGGG